UAACCUGCCCAAGAGAUCGGGAUAACACCUGGAAACAGAUGCUAAUACCGGAUAACAACAGAUGAUGCCUAUCAACUGUUUAAAAGAUGGUUCUGCUAUCACUCUUGGAUGGACCUGCGGUGCAUUAGCUAGUUGGUAGGGUAACGGCCUACCAAGGCGAUGAUGCAUAGCCGAGUUGAGAGACUGAUCGGCCACAUUGGGACUGAGACNCGGCCCAAACUCCUACGGGAGGCAGCAGG
rnacentral:rRNA from 1 species